UAGGGGAGCGUUCCAGUUGCCUGUGAAGCAGUACCGGAAGGAGCUGUGGAGGUCCUGGAAGUGCUUAUGCUGACAUGAGUAACGACAAUACGGGUGAGAAUCCCGUACGCCGAAAACUCAAGGUUUCCUGUGGAAGGAUUAUCCGCGCAGGGUUAGUCGGAACCUAAGCCGAGGCUGGAGAGCGUAGGCGAUGGCAAACAGGUUAAUACUCCUGUACCACUGUUUAGCGUUUGAGCGAUGGGGGGACGCAGGAGGGUAUGCAUACCGGGCGUUGGUUGUCCCGGGUUAAGCCUGUAGGGAGAAGGUCUAGGCAAAUCCGGAUCUUUGUUAAUCCUGAGAGGUGAUGACGAGCCGCAUGGGCGAAGUUGCAAAUCCCACACUGACAGGAAAAGCCUCUAGUGAGCUAAAUAGUGUCCGUACUCUAAACCGACGCAGGUGGGUGGGAUGAAAAUUCUAAGGCGUUGAGUGAAACCUCGUUAAGGAACUCGGCAACUUAACACCGUAACUUCGGGAGAAGGUGUGCCCUCUCGGGUCAUGGGCCUUGCGUCCGCAGCCUGGGAGAGUCGCAGAGAAGUGGCCGCAGCGACUGUUUACUAAAAACACAGGACUCUGCUAAAUCGCAAGAUGACGUAUAGGGUCUGAUGCCUGCCCGGUGCCGGAAGGUUAAGGGGAAGUGUUAUUCAACUCGUUGGAGAAGCACCGAACCGAAGCCCCGGUAAACGGCGGCCGUAACAAUAACGGUCCUAAGGUAGCGAAAUUCCUUGUCGGGUAAGUUCCGACCUGCACGAAUGGCAUAACGAUUGCGGCGGUGUCUCAACGAGGGGCUCAGUGAAAUUGCAGUGCCAGUGAAGAUACUGGCAACCCGCGGAAGGACGGAAAGACCCCGUGCACCUUUACUACAACUUGACAUUGUAUUCUGGGUAGGUCUGUGUAGGAUAGGCGGGAGGCUGUGAAGCCGGGACGCUAGUUUCGGUGGAGCCAACCUUGAAACACCACCCUGAUCUGCUUGGGCUACUAACCUGCACCCGUAAUCCGGGUGGGGGACAGUGUCUGGUGGGUAGUUUGACUGGGGCGGUCGCCUCCUAAAGAGGAACGGAGGCGCGCGAAGGUUCCCUCAGGCUGAUCGGAAACCAGCCGGCGAGUGCAAAGGCAUAAGGGAGCUUGACUGCGAGACAGACAUGUCGAGCAGGUGCGAAAGCAGGUCUUAGUGAUCCGGUGGCGCCGAAUGGAAGGGCCAUCGCUCAACGGAUAAAAGGUACGCCGGGGAUAACAGGCUGAUCUCCCCCAAGAGUUCACAUCGACGGGGAGGUUUGGCACCUCGAUGUCGGCUCAUCGCAUCCUGGGGCUGGAGCAGGUCCCAAGGGUAUGGCUGUUCGCCAUUUAAAGCGGUACGCGAGCUGGGUUUAGAACGUCGUGAGACAGUUCGGUCCCUAUCCUCCGUGGGCGGAGGAGAUUUGAGGGAAGCUGCCCCUAGUACGAGAGGACCGGGGUGGACGGACCAAUGGUGCUCCUGUUGUCGCGCCAGCGGCAUAGCAGGGUAGCUAAGUCCGGAACGGAUAACCGCUGAAAGCAUCUAAGUGGGAAGCCGCUCCCAAGAUAAGAUCUCCCUUCGUUCUCGUAACGACUGAAGGCCACACGUAGACUACGUGUUUGAUAGGCUGGGUGUGUAAGCGCAGUAAUGUGUUGAGCUAACCAGUACUAAUCGGCCGUGAGGCUUGACCC
rnacentral:rRNA from 1 species